ACGAACCGUCCAAACGUUACUCGGAAUUACUGGGCUUAAAGGGUGCGUAGGCUGCGCGGAAAGUUGGGUGUGAAAUCCCUCGGCUCAACCGGGGAAUUGCAUUCAAAACUACCGUGCUCGAGGGAGACAGAGGUAAGCGGAACUCAAGGUGGAGCGGUGAAAUGCGUUGAUAUCUUGAGGAACACCGGUGGCGAAGGCGGCUUACUGGGUCUCUUCUGACGCUGAGGCACGAAAGCUAAGGUAGCAAACGGGAUUAGAUACCCCGGUAGUCUUAGCUGUAAACGAUGAGCACUUGAUUGGAGGGUCCUCCAUAGCCUUCCAGUCGUAGCGAAAGUGUUAAGUGCUCCGCCUGGGGAGUAUGGUCGCAAGGCUG
rnacentral:rRNA from 1 species